GAUGAACGCUGGCGGCGUGCCUAAUACAUGCAAGUCGAGCGAACAGACGAGGAGCUUGCUCCUCUGACGUUAGCGGCGGACGGGGGAGUAACACGUGGAUAACCUACCUAUAAGACUGGGAUAACUUCGGGAAACCGGAGCUAAUACCGGAUAAUAUAUUGAACCGCAUGGUUCAAUAGUGAAAGACGGUUUUGCUGUCACUUAUAGAUGGAUCCGCGCCGCAUUAGCUAGUUGGUAAGGUAACGGCUUACCAAGGCAACGAUGCGUAGCCGACCUGAGAGGGUGAUCGGCCACACUGGAACUGAGACACGGUCCAGACUCCUACGGGAGGCAGCAGUAGGGAAUCUUCCGCAAUGGGCGAAAGCCUGACGGAGCAACGCCGCGUGAGUGAUGAUGGUCUUCGGAUCGUAAAACUCUGUUAUUAGGGAAGAACAAAUGUGUAAGUAACUAUGCACGUCUUGACGGUACCUAAUCAGAAAGCCACGGCUAACUACGUG
rnacentral:rRNA from 1 species